GAUCCGGGAAAGGGCAUUUGGGCUCGUGGAGUAGAUAUGUGCAUGGAUGAGUGGGGGGUCUGAGACUUCAGCGCUGGUCGGAAAUGAGAAUUGGUGAUUGUAAAGAGAACAAAGAGAUGUCACUGAAGAUAGACAUCUGGAGUGGAAAAUGAGGAUUUGGGCAGGGCUGUGAAGGAGAAUGGGUAAUUUAUGAGAGGGCGAAGUGGGAUUCCUUGGAGCGGAGUGUUCGGGGUUUUUGGAAGUUAUGCUAGAGUCGCUGGGUUUCGGUGAAGUGGGGACGAGGCUUACAAGUGCGUCUGAACACACGGGCCAGUGGAGCGGAGGAAAGAAACCGAGGGAGCCCGCCGGUGGGCGUGCGCUCGGUGCUGGGAACUCCGCGGAGGAAGAGAUGUCAGGAGAAAGUGUGGUGAGCUCAGCGGUGCCAGCAGCUGCGACCCGCACCACUUCGUUCAAGGGCACGAGCCCCAGUUCCAAGUACGUGAAGCUGAACGUGGGUGGAGCCCUGUACUACACCACCAUGCAGACGCUGACCAAGCAGGACACCAUGCUGAAGGCCAUGUUCAGCGGGCGCAUGGAGGUGCUCACGGAUAGUGAAGGCUGGAUCCUCAUUGACCGGUGUGGGAAGCACUUUGGUACCAUACUCAACUACCUUCGUGACGGGGCGGUCCCCUUGCCUGAGAGCCGCCGGGAGAUCGAGGAGCUGCUGGCAGAAGCCAAGUACUACCUGGUCCAGGGCCUGGUGGAAGAGUGCCAGGCAGCCCUGCAACAGAACAAAGAUACUUAUGAGCCUUUCUGCAAAGUUCCUGUCAUCACCUCAUCCAAGGAAGAACAGAAACUUAUAGCGACUUCAAAUAAGCCAGCCGUGAAGUUGCUCUACAACAGAAGUAACAACAAAUACUCGUAUACCAGCAAUUCUGACGACAAUAUGUUGAAGAACAUCGAACUGUUUGAUAAGCUAUCGCUGCGCUUUAAUGGAAGGGUCCUGUUCAUAAAGGAUGUCAUUGGGGACGAAAUCUGCUGCUGGUCCUUCUACGGCCAGGGCCGCAAGAUCGCUGAAGUCUGCUGUACCUCUAUCGUCUACGCCACCGAGAAGAAACAGACCAAGGUGGAGUUCCCUGAAGCCCGGAUCUAUGAGGAGACCCUGAAUAUUUUGCUGUAUGAGGCCCAGGAUGGCCGGGGACCCGACAACGCACUCCUGGAGGCCACGGGUGGGGCGGCCGGACGCUCCCACCACCUGGACGAGGACGAGGAGCGGGAGCGGGAGCGGAUCGAGCGCGUGCGGCGGAUCCACAUCAAGCGCCCGGACGACCGGGCCCACCUCCACCAGUGAGCGGGCAGGGGCCCCGCCUGCACCCCGCCCGCCCUGCUCCUCCCCGCUGUGCACUCAGAUUCCCCGAGAGCUCCCGGGCCUCCCGCUGCCCCCGCGUCCGGAGAGACUGCAUAAAAAGCCAGAUGACGAUUUUGGUAUUUCUCGACCAGGUGAAUGGAUUGUCUUUACCCAGGUGAACACACCCCUGCCAGUGAACAAGCUGGGUCCAAGGUCUCUGCUUUCCUGAGAAUCCGAGAAGCACUGGAGCCAGGCUUUCCUGGUUCUGGAGGAAGAGGAUGAGUGGGUGUGGUGUGUGUGUGAGAACUUGUCUGCGGUAUUUAUUUCUGUGGGUGUUGACUGCCUCUUUGAGCUUCUUGGGUCGCCUUUCCUCCACGGUUCAGUUUGUCAACUCCGAAACGGGUCCUGUAGUCGGUGUCUGCGAGCUCAGUGUUUCCUAACUCCACCCCAGCACCCUGGCCCCAUUCCCGUGCCCGGCACAGGCUCCACGGCUUUGCGAACAGCCCGUCCCGCCUCGGGCAUCGAUCCUAGAGCUUGUUGGUGAAGGACCACAGCUCUUAGCAGUGGAGAUACCACCUGGGGGUUCCUGCCUCUCAGCCGCUGUUCCUAGUGUGGCUCUGGAUGCCCAGCUCCGUUGAAGGGGCAGGCCUGUUGCCCCUUCUGCUGAUCUGUGGUCUGGUGCUUGUUGGGACCCUGCAGGGUCUGGCCGAGAGCAGAGCUGCCCCUUCCUCUGCCCUCCUUGUUGACCCACUCCAUUCCGGGAAGGCUGCCUGGCCUGCUUAUGGGCAUAGCGUACAAACCACUGCGCGGUGGGCUCCAUUCCUUCCUCUUUGGCCUUAUGCCCCGUUAAGCGGGGCUUACUGCCCCCAGCGGAUGCCCUGCCCUUUGCUUAGAAGAAAUUAAACAUGGCCCCAGACUCUUUUCUGGCGUCCAGACAGGACCACUGCUCACACCAGCAGCCUCAGGACGGUUCACCUGCUGUCAACGCAGCCAUCGCCUGGAGAUCCCUUCCUGUCUCUGAUCCUUACGCGGUGUGGAGUGGCCGUCGGUGAGCAGACGGAGAGGACGUGCAGAUCCUUUUGGGUCCGAAAUGCCCAGCACAGUCCAGCCACUGAACUGAAGUGCAGUUCACAGGAAAGAGAGCAGAGAUCCCACCUUCUACUUCACCACCUAAAGGUUGCUGCUCAGGGUGGAAAAGAUGAGUCAUUUUUCCGUAGUGUUUGAACUCAAACACUGGAAGGAAGUCUUGGGUGGAAAUGCUGCUGGGCUUGUGAAACAGCGGUCGGCUGCUGUUGCCUCCGACUGCAGGUUUGGGGUGGGGAGAGCUACACCUCACCAUGUGGAGCCUAAAGCCAUGCAGGAACUGGGUAUGUUUCUGAGUUCCAUUUAUUUAAAGCAAAAUUCAGAUUUUGCAGCUUUAUGCUCUCAGACCACGUAUAAUACGUCAUUGUGCCCCAGGGGCAGCAUGACAAAGAGAAUCUGUCAUCCCCCCAUACUGACAUGUUCAAGUGCCCGUCAAGUGUAGGUCCUAUUGGGGAUGUUUAAAAUCACCCCCUUGGGUGACUUGAGGUUGGCUCCCUAAAGAGAACAUGUAGUGCGACGGAACACCUGAGGGCUUGGCCUUUGGCAUAAGAUGCCACUCUGCUUCUUCAGGGACGAUCCUUUUCCUAGAGCUGCUGGAAACUUUGCUUGAAGGUGUCGCUAACUGGACCAAAUUCGAGCUUUCCUCAGUUGCAGCAGAAACGGCGAUGGGAGAGAUCACACGUCAUCCUCCAUCAGGACUUCCUGCGGACUGACACCUGGGGAAGGUACACGCUGAGGUUUAGAGGUGUCUCCUCUCACUCAGGAGGAGGCAGUGAGCGGUGCAGCCGCCUGCAUGGUUGAGGGGGACGUGGACAAGCUGCGAGCAGCCAAGCCCCGUCACCAACACCAUCUCCUGCCCCACCUCCCGUGAGACAAGCCACAUCCAGAAAUAGGCUCACUGAGGCCUCAGCUUCAGCCUGAGCCAGCCUGGGAGGAAUGGGGGUAAGUUUUAAGACAGCAUGUAAACUGAAAAGUCACCUUAUACUUUACAUUAAAAAUCACGCUUCAGUAUUUUAA